rnacentral:rRNA from 1 species
GAUGAACGCUAGCUACAGGCUUAACACAUGCAAGUCGCGGGGCAGCAUGUAUCUGGCUUGCCAGAUACGAUGGCGACCGGCGCACGGGUGAGUAACGCGUAUCCAACCUGCCCAUAACCACGGCACAGCCCGUCGAAAGGCGGAUUAAUGCCGUAUGAGGUUCCAGAGUAGCAUUAUUAUGGAACGAAAGGAUUGGCGGUUAUGGAUGGGGAUGCGUCCGAUUAGCUUGUUGGCGGGGUAACGGCCCACCAAGGCGACGAUCGGUAGGGGUUCUGAGAGGAAGGUCCCCCCACAUUGGAACUGAGACACGGUCCAAACUCCUACGGGAGGCAGCAGUGAGGAAUAUUGGGUCAAUGGACGAGAGUCUGAACCAGCCAAGUAGCGUGAGGGAUGACUGCCCUAUGGGUU